CCUACGGGGGGCAGCAGUGAGGAAUAUUGGUCAAUGGGCGAGAGCCUGAACCAGCCAAGUCGCGUGAGGGAGUACUGCCCUAUGGGUUGUAAACCUCUUUUGUCGGGGAGCAAAAGCCGGACGUGUCCGGCUGUUAGAUUACCCGAAGAAAAAGCAUCGGCUAACUCCGUGCCAGCAGCCGCGGUAAUACGGAGGAUGCGAGCGUUAUCCGGAUUUAUUGGGUUUAAAGGGUGCGCAGGCGGAUUUUUAAGUCAGCGGUCAAAUCGUGGGGCUCAACCCAAUCCAGCCGUUGAAACUGGGGAUCUAGAGUGUGCGAGAGGUAUGCGGAAGGCGUGGUGUAGCGGUGAAAUGCAUAGAUAUCACGCAGAACCCCGAUUGCGAAGGCAGCAUACCGGUGCACAACUGACGCUCAGGCACGAAAGCGUGGGUAUCGAACAGGAUUAGAUACCCUUGUAGUC
rnacentral:rRNA from 1 species